CGGUACAAAGAGCUGCAAGACCGCGAGGGGGAGCUAAUCUCAUAAAAACGUUCUCAGUUCGGAUUGUAGGCUGCAACUCGCCUACAUGAAGCUGGAAUCGCUAGUAAUCGCGGAUCACAUGCCGCGGUGAAUACGUUCCCGGGCCUUGUACACACCGCCCGUCACACCACGAGAGUUUGUAACACCCGAAGUCGGUGGGGUAACCUUUUUGGA
rnacentral:rRNA from 1 species